AUUGAACGCUAGCGGCAUGCUUAACACAUGCAAGUCGAACGGUAACAGGCCCAGCUUGCUGGGUGCUGACGAGUGGCGAACGGGUGAGUAACGCGUAGGAAUCUACCUUGUAGUGAGGGACAACCCGAGGAAACUCGGGCUAAUACCACAUAAUCUCUACGGAGCAAAGAGGGCCUCUAUUUAUAAGCUCUCGCUAUAAGAGGAGCCUGCGUCAGAUUAGCUUGUUGGUGGGGUAAAGGCCUACCAAGGCAACGAUCUGUAGCUGGUCUGAGAGGACGAUCAGCCACACUGGGACUGAGACACGGCCCAGACUCCUACGGGAGGCAG
rnacentral:rRNA from 1 species